rnacentral:rRNA from 1 species
GGGUUAGUAGGUUGGUCGUGCCACUGGUACGUACUGGUCUCACUGAUUCCUCCUUCCUGAUGAACUGUAAUGCCAUUUAUUUGGUGUUGCAGGGAAACUGGACUGUUACUUUGAAAAAAUUAGAGUGUUUAAAGCAAGCUAACGCUUGAAUACAUUAGCAUGGAAUAAUGAAAUAGGACGUUCGAUCCUAUUUUGUUGGUUUCUAGGAUUGACGUA